rnacentral:pre_miRNA from 1 species
ACAACAUUCGGACUGUCAGUCUACAGAGCAAUAUCACCCGCUCGGUGAAUGAUCUUUCCUACGCCGC